UCGGACGUGGUGCACGGUGCACGCCUGCUCUCCUUAGGUGUGUGAAGCAAUUAUAUGAAGCAGGAGGCCUGGGUUCGACUCCCAGCGUCUGAA